UACAGAGGGUGCGAGCGUUAAUCGGAUUUACUGGGCGUAAAGCGCGCGUAGGUGGCUAAUUAAGUCAAAUGUGAAAUCCCCGAGCUUAACUUGGGAAUUGCAUUCGAUACUGGUUGGCUAGAGUAUGGGAGAGGAUGGUAGAAUUCCAGGUGUAGCGGUGAAAUGCGUAGAGAUCUGGAGGAAUACCGAUGGCGAAGGCAGCCAUCUGGCCUAAUACUGACACUGAGGUGCGAAAGCAUGGGGAGCAAACAGGAUUAGAAACCCCCGUAGUCC
rnacentral:rRNA from 1 species